rnacentral:lncRNA from 1 species
UCUUCAAUUAUAGAUUAUUUUUUUUCUCCUUGUGAAUAGGACUUUCUUAUAAAUUCUUUCAGGUGCUGCUUCUCACUGCUGCUCACUUUUCACUAGAAAAAAAAUGCCUUUCUUGAGCUAUAAGGGAAAAUCCAAGUAAGGAAGAAAAACAGGUAACUAAAGCAGGUCGGAAGCUGGUCGGUUCUCCCAGUCAAGCUUGUGAACCAGCACGCAGACAAAGGUGAGUUUGCAUGCAAAUGGAAAUUGAUGCCUGAGCAUUCAUGACAGUAUGGAGGUACUAACAUUUGAGUAUUAGGCCCUGAGGAUGCAUCCAGUACCUUGUGUGAAGGCUGUGUAGAACCUGAAACUCCAAAAUCUCUAUUCAGAGCUUUACUUAAACAUCUAUAUAUUUU